CGGGAUGUUGGGUAAAUGGUAGCCCCCUUGAUUUGGGUUCAAGUACGUGCAGGUUCAAGUCCUGUCAUUCCGA
rnacentral:tRNA from 1 species